CCUACGGGAGACAGCAGUGAGGAAUAGUGGUCAAUGGACGAGAGUCUGAACCAGCCAAGUAGCGUGAAGGAUGACUGCCCUAUGGGUUGUAAACUUCUUGUAUAAAGGAAUAAAACGAGGCACGUGGGCCUUUUUGCAUGUACGUUAUGAAUAAGGAUCGGCUAACGCCGUGCCAGCAGCCGCGGUAAUACGGAGGAUCCGAGCGUUAUCCGGAUUUAUUGGGUUUAAAGGGAGCGUAGAGGGGUUGUUAAGUCAGUUGUGAAAGUUUGCGGCUCAACCGUAAAAUUGCAAUUGAUACUGGCAGUCUUUCUUACAGUUGCGGUUAGCUGACUUCGUGGUGUCGCUG
rnacentral:rRNA from 1 species